AUUGAACGCUGGCGGCAGGCCUAACACAUGCAAGUCGAGCGGAUGAAGGGAGCUUGCUCCUGGAUUCAGCGGCGGACGGGUGAGUAAUGCCUAGGAAUCUGCCUGGUAGUGGGGGAUAACGUCCGGAAACGGGCGCUAAUACCGCAUAGGUCCUGAGGGAGCAAGUGGGGGAUCUUCGGACCUCACGCUCUCAGAUGAGCCUAGGUCGGAUUAGUUAGUUGGUGGGGUAAAGGCCUACCAAGGCGACGAUCCGUAACUGGUCUGAGAGGAUGAUCAGUCACACUGGAACUGAGACACGGUCCAGACUCCUGCGAGAGGCAGCAGUGGGGAAUAUUGGGCAGUGGGCGAAAGCAUGAUCCAGCCAUGCCGCGUGUGUGAAGAAGGUCUUCGGAUUGUAAAGCACUUUAAGUUGGGAGGAAGGGCAGUAAGUUAAUACCUAGCUGUUUUGACGUUACCAACAGAAUAAGCACCGGCUAACUUCGUG
rnacentral:rRNA from 1 species